GACGAAGGGGGCUAGCGUUGUUCGGAAUUACUGGGCGUAAAGCGCGUGUAGGCGGUUGCCCAAGUCGGGUGUGAAAGCCUUGAGCUCAACUCCAGAACUGCCUUUGAUACUGGAGAGCUUGAGUCCGGGAGAGGUGAGUGGAACUCCGAGUGUAGAGGUGAAAUUCGUAGAUAUUCGCAAGAACACCAGUGGCGAAGGCGGCUCACUGGCCCGGUACUGACGCUGAGGUGCGAAAGCGUGGGGAGCAAACAGG
rnacentral:rRNA from 1 species